AAUGUAAAGAUCAGGAUCAGAAUCGUGGAUAAUCUUGUUCGGAAUCGUUUGAUUCUGCGUAUUUUCUUCUAGCUUGUCCGAAAGAUUCAGAUCUUUACCCUGUCUGGGCUUGAGUGUGCUCACUGAGGGUAAAUUGGCUUUCGAAGGCGAUCGAUCUGUUGUCUUUGACGGAGUUCUUUCGAGAUACUACGCGGCAGACUUGCGGAUCUCUUGGGUCUUGAGCCACUUCGACGGGCCACCGAAUUCCAACCAUACAUUUUGACACUUAAUUCACGUUUCUAGUAUUGUCACACUUUCAUUAUAGAAAAUGUUAUGUCUGGUUGCAGAGCUAAACACGAACUGAUUUUUUCCCA